rnacentral:lncRNA from 1 species
AUGUAAAAGACACUGGUUCCUGUUUAUGUAACUUAUUUUCUUGUUAGAGAUAUAACCUAAGAAGCACAAACACACCUCUCCAAAGUGUCGUGUUGGCGUGUCAUACACAUUUCGGACACCGUCACUUCUUGGACACACCUUGAAAACAUGUCAGACACCUCUUAAAUAAUUCCAAUCUAAAAAACUGUUAGACAUGUCUUGAACAUGCACCAAGAAACCGGGCCGACACUUGGUCAGGGCCCUUAAGAUCGAAUUUCAUUAUAUAACUUUUUUACUAGAUGUAACAUCAAGUUGUUUUCUUUUGUGAUUUAUUUUUUCAGAUGAGGUCUUAUGCAAAAAGUGGAGAGAAUCCACCAGAUGGAUUUAUGUGCCCAAGUGGAUGGAAAGUUCUUGUCAAUUAUUAUGAAAGUUUGCAGACAGAAGAAGCAUCACAACAGCCUGUGUUAUCUUCUUAGACAUAACUACAGCUACUGCUAGAAGUUUUUGCAUUAAUUGAUUCUAGAACAAGAGUGUUAAGAGUAAAACUUAGGGAGUGCCAAUUUUUAUGCAUGGUCUUCCAACAUCAUGAUCAAGAAUUCGGCAAUGCGCAAGCAUAUUUGAAAUUUUUGUAACAUACUGAAUCAUGGUCAUCCUCUAAACAUGGUAUUAUAAUGAUUAUCGUCAUACUCGCUUUUGUAAAUAAUUCCUAUAUCAUAACAUAUAUCUUUAUAGACAACAAGUUCGGUGUCCUCCCCACACCCUUUGGCACAAGGUAACACACAAACACACAUAUAUAAGGACAAAUCUAGAAAUAUUGAUUAAUGAGCGUAAUAACAUGUACAUUAAUUUUUCGAGUGAAAUCAUUUACGAUAAAUAUUUACAUAAGAAUAUAAUUAUCAUUAAAAACUCAAACACUACGAAAAUUAUUCAUUUUAUAUCGAAAAAUUUAAAUACACCAAAAGAUCUACGAAAUAUAUUUCUUCAUUGGUCUUAUGUUUUGAAAUUAUGUUUUUUUUUUCUUUUCAUUUUCAACAUUAUUGAAUUAUUUCUAUGUACGUGUAAAACCAAUUAUUCGAUAAUUUAACUCUUAUACCCCUUUCCAAAAAUAAAACUCUUAUACCGUUUCAUAUUUUUUUCUUCAAAAAUAAAAUUAUUUAGCAACAUUCUUUUUUUUUUAAGAAAUCAAAAUGGAAUUAUAUAACACACCAAACAUUAGUUCUCAAGCACAAGGUGUGCCUAGGAAACCACUAAAAGUUACAAGAGUUUAAAGACUACAACAACCAGAGAUAACACUAGUUAGCCAAGCCUAAACAAGCAAAAGGGUCUGACCACCAUCUCUGCAUACCAUAAACAAACACAACAUUUUUAGCUUUCAGCCACCCCAAAGAUAACAAUUUAACCUUAUCUAACAAUUGAUGGACAAGAUUAACGGAAUUAUUGAAAAGACGGUUGUUACGUUCACUCCACAAAACCCAAGAAUACAAAAGUCAAAUAAGCUGUAAGAACGAUCUUUUUGCUUUACCAACACCUGCCAAAUGAGUAAAGUGCACCAGAUGAUCUGUAAUGAUAAUAGGGUACACUCCUAAAAUACCAAUCCAAUCACGCACAACAUUCUAUAUGGGCAAAACUUAUUUUUAACUGUAAAAAAAAUACAAUUACUCAGACAACUUUAAAUAAAAUAAUAGAGUAAGUGAGGCAAGUACCUCCAAUUACAUGAUCGUGCAUUCGUGUCUGAUUACAUCACUACAUAAAGAGAUAUAGUCUUUAACAAAGACUCAGUCUCUUUUCAAGUACUUUUGAUUUUGAAAGUUAAGUACUUUGAAAAUAAAUCUCUUGAUUUCUUUGAAAAAUUAACGAGUAAAUAGGCAAAAAAACCCCUGAAAUUGUAGCUUUCGUCAAAAACCUCCCUGAUUUUUAGGAAACUUCAAAAAGCCCCCUGAAAUUGACAAACGUUAGUCAAUCACCCCCCUCCAUUUGUUUUGGCUGUUAAAUGACUUUUUUUUUUUUUUUGCUUUCUUCAUCUUCUUCCUUCCACUUUUUUCAUCAUCUUCAUGAAUAUUUAUAAAAAAUCCAGAAAAAAAAUUAAGAAACAACAACCAUUAACAUCAUCAUCAUCUCAUUACUAGCUUCUCUUGUUUGUUGCUCAUUAUUGUUAUCCAAAAGGGUCGUAGCAGAAAGAUCAAGAGACAAUUGAUGAUGAUGAUCAUUGUUGUUGAUAAUCUCAUCGCUGCUCCAAAAAGGAAAUCCAUUUGAAUGAGGGUUCAAAAGUGAUUGAUUCUGAAGAGGAGACAUGAGUGAUGAUGGAACAAUAUGAGAAUGAGAAGAAACAUUGAUGUUGAUGUUGGUGUUCAUGCUAUUCAUCAUAACCCUUGUUCUUUUUCCAACAAGUCCACGAUCUUUUCUGUUAUUCAUUUUGUUGUUGAUGAAUUCCAAAGGGUUGUUGUUGAUUAAUUCAAGAAGGUAACAAACAAGAGAGAGAGAGAGAGAAUCAUUAGAAAGUGUGUGAUGUUGAUGAUGAUGUUGUUGUUAAUGGUUGUUGUUUCUUAAAAUUUUUCUGGAUUUUUUUAUGAAUGUUGAUGAAGAUGAUGAAAAAAGUGGAAGGAAGAAGAUGAAGAAAGCAAAAAGAAAUUAAAAAAUAGUCAUUUAACAGCCAAAACAAACGGAGAGGGAUAAUUGACUAACGUUUGAUAAUUUCAGGGGAGUUUUUGAAGUUUCUUAAAAAUCAGGAAAGUUUUUGACGAAAGUUAUAAUUUCAAGGGGGUUUUUGCCUAUUCCCUUGAAAAUAUAUAAAAACAAAUAAAAAUGAAAAUAUUAAAAGAUGUCGUUAAUGUAUAUCUAAUGUGGAGUCGUUGUAUAGAUAAAAGUGGAAUUAGCGUUUUUCUUUCUUAUUUCUACAUAAAGAGAUAAAGUCUUUGUAUAGAUAAAUAUGGAAUUAUUGUUUUUCUUUCCUAUUUUAAUUGUGAAAUCCGUUUAUUUUAUAUAAAGAUAUUUUUCUUUAGGAAAAUGUUAACUAUGUCUUAAAAUACUAGUUAAGAAGUAAAUAUAGUAUGUAUUGUAUUGUAAAUUGUGUUCUAAUCCCUUAAAAGUUAAUAAAGUGUCUUUUUCAAUUUUUUUUUUCUUAACCCAUUUUCUUUAAUAGGUUGAACUUCAUAUCGGGUAAAUGACUCCAAAUUAAACAUGCUUUAACCACGUUCUUUAACAUUACUAGCAUUAUUUAUUUUUACAUCUGUUUAUAUAUUUACAAGGUUCAUUUUCCAAAGCAAUCAAAAGAUUCAUUUUCAAAAGUACUUAAUUUUCAAAAUCAAUAAUAUUCUCACCCUGCUCCACUUUUCAGUCCCAAUUCAUAUUUUGAUGCAUCUUUUUGGCACCAUUAUGGUCCCACCAAUACAAAUUGCAUCUUUUAAAGCAUGCAUGCACUACCACACUUUUCUCAUCCACACAAUCAAAAAAAACAUGAUCAUAGAAAACCACUUCUUGUGAAUCCAAUCCAACAUGUUCGCCAUAGUCAUAGGUGGUUGUUAUUAUUAUUAUGUCACAUUGAAACAAUUCAACAACAUUAGUACUAUUGUGUUCUGUUCCCCCACGUUCUUCUCUUCUCUCUCUCCAACACCAUAACCAUCAAUUUCCCAUAAUGUCUCUAACCAUUAAGUUACAAUUAGUUUCUCAUCUUAACAUCAAUCACAACAAUAACCAUGCAAACAAAUUAAUCAAAAUCAAAAACAACACUUUUGGUAACACUUUAAACUUUCUUCCAAAACCCACUUUUGGUAACAAUUCAUUAACUGUUACUAAAAAGUCUAAUAAUAAAGUUAAGAGAAGAAUGCAAGGAAAUUUCAUGAUCAAAAGCUCUUUGAUAGAACCAGAUGGGGGUGUAUUAGUAGAUCUUAUGGUGCCUGAAAAUGAAAGAGAGUCCAAGGUACUUGAAGCUAAGUCACUUCCUAAUGUGAAACUAACAAAAGUUGAUUAUGAAUGGGUGCAUGUAAUUGGUGAAGGUUGGGCUAGUCCUUUGAAAGGUUUCAUGAGGGAAAAUGAAUAUCUUCAAAGUUUGCAUUUUAAUUCACUUAGGUUGAAUGAUGGUUCUUUUGUUAAUAUGUCACUUCCUAUUGUUUUGUCUAUUGAUGAUGAGACUAAAGAGAGAAUUGGAUCUUCUUCUAAUGUUGGGUUGAUUGGACCUGAUGGGGAUAUUGUUGGUAUUCUUAGAAGGUUAGUAUAGUCUUCUUCUGGCAUUAGUUUUGUGGUUAAUUGGUGUUUUCUGAUUGAUUAAUUGUUCAAUUGUUAUUAUCAUAAUUUUAAGGGUAAUUGGUAUUUCCUAGUUGAUUAAUUUUUCCAUUUUUAUUAUCAUGGUUUAACCUCAGUUAGAAGGUGAUAAAAGGCUGAGUGCAUGUUUAGAUUGGCGGUAAGUUAGAUGAAAUCAUGGUGAUAUCGUCGUAAUUUUGUUGAAGCUUAAACUGUAGCUUUUGACAAAAUCAGGGUGGGACACCAUGAUUUUGCCAAACUUAUCGUCAAUCCAAACAUACACUGAAUUGAAGAGAAUGUGAGCGUUUUGAUGAACUAUAGUAACUCAUCAUAUAUUACAUGAUUUAUUUUUUCACACAUCUCGCAUGUUUGUUUACAUGCCUACGAUUUUCAAUCUUAUAUGUUGCUUUAACUUGAACUUAUUAAAUCAGUGUGUUUUAAAUUAGAUUUUGCAAUGUUUUAGAAAUUGAACCGGACAUCAAACUGACGAGACCUAUGAGUCAUAGUUAAUGUCUUUAAACUAUUCAAAUUUCAAGCUGGGAUGAAAUCGCAGUUGAAUCACCCAAAUAACCGAACCGGAGGCAAUCUCAGUUCAUGGUUUAACUGGUUGAACUGUCCAUAUUUUAGCACGUUCAAUUUUUGAAUUACAAUGGUUAUGACUAUUUAAGUAAACUCCUGUCAUGGUGUCUCUGAGUUUUCAUUUUUCAUUAACCAAUGAACAUUAAUUUAACUUCUUUGCAGCAUUGAAAUCUACAAGCAUAACAAAGAAGAAAGAAUAGCUAGAACCUGGGGAACAACUGCUCCAGGAUUGCCUUAUGUUGAGGAGGUCAUUGCUCCAGCUGGAAAUUGGCUUAUUGGAGGAGAUUUGGAAGUGCUAAAACCUAUCAAAUACAAUGAUGGUCUUGAUAACUACAGGCUAUCUCCCAAGCAACUUCGGGAAGAAUUUGAUAGGCGUAAAGCUGAUGCAGUUUUCGCCUUUCAGUUAAGAAAUCCUGUGCAUAACGGUCAUGCCUUGUUAAUGAACGAUACUCGUCAACGUCUACUAGACAUGGGUUACAAAAAUCCGAUUUUAUUGCUUCAUCCUCUUGGAGGUUUCACAAAGGUUGACGAUGUUCCCUUAGAUGUCAGGAUGGAGCAACAUAGCAAGGUAAUUUCCAUCAUUUUUUCUCAUAUGGCGUCGAGUAAGAAUCAAUUUUGUUUAAUAUCGGUGCUAUAGAGUAGCGGUUUUUGAACACAUCGCUAUUGCUCUGUGAUACUCUAUUUAGUUCAAACUGUUGUCAAAUAGCAGCUUUAGCGGCGUUGUAGAACUGUUGCGUAGCAGAAUUUGAAUAAACGCGCUAUUUUCCGCGAUCCGCGAUUGACAACACUGGUUAAGAUAAUGUGCAUGUGCCUAUAACAAUCAGUGCUAUAAAAAUUGACCUUGGAAGUGGUUUAACUGCUAUUUAAUUUCAGCUAUCCAUUCAUUUGUAAUUCUUUUAUCCAGUGAGCUUUAACCAGUGUUUCAAAAACUGAAUCUAACCAGAUAGUUCGACCGGUUGAAUUGUGACCAAGAACUGUCUACUGAUUAUUUGAGAAGUUUGAUUGUGGUUUCGACCCGGUAUAAAGCACUUGAACCAUGACCUAGAGAUCUUGCUUGUUUGGUGUACGAUUCGUUUUUUAAAACAUUGGUCUUAUCGCUAAUUGUAAAGUACUUUUUCUUGUUCAUAGGUUCUAGAAGAUGGAGUUCUUGAUCCUGAGACGACCAUAGUUUCUAUAUUUCCAUCACCUAUGCAUUAUGCAGGUCCAACUGAAGUUCAAUGGCAUGCGAAGGCACGGAUAAAUGCCGGCGCCAACUUCUAUAUUGUUGGUCGCGAUCCCGCUGGUAUGGGUCAUCCAACUGAGAAACGGGACUUGUACGACCCUGAUCAUGGAAAAAAGGUGCUUAGCAUGGCUCCUGGUCUCGAGAAGCUUAACAUUUUGCCAUUCAGGGUAAGUAGUAUUGCUUUUGCACAUGAAUUUAGGUUCCUCCUCUCUGAAAUAUGUUCUUUCAAUAUUUUCUUUAGUCAAAACCGUAUAAACAGAUCCAAUUCAAACUGCACUUAAACUGAUCCGAUUUCUUGAAGAAAGAAAUCCGAGCCGAAUCACAUUCUGUUAUAGUCUUUGGAUAGGAUGUGUUUCUGGCUUAGAAUUGAUCAAAACUGAACUGCAAACACCUCUAUUCUUCAUAAUGAUGCCCAUUUUUCUUUUGUACAAAGUUUCAUUGAAGUUAAUACUUUAUCAUUCAAAAAAACUUCUUAAUGAUAUACACAUCAUGUCUCUUAAUGUUUGUUUCAUUUUAAUGAUUUACCUUGUGUGCCAUUUUAUAUUACAGGUGGCAGCUUAUGACACUAAGGUAAACAAGAUGGCAUUUUUCGACCCUAGCCGUGCUAAAGAUUUCCUCUUUAUAUCUGGAACCAAGGUAUAUAUUAUCAAUUGUUCUCUAAUAUGUUUCAGAACCAAUCAACCAAAAAUCUAAAUUUCGUCAUGAAUAUUAUCACAUAAAUAUAUAGUCUGUGUUAGGUUUACAAUGAUAGAUCUUAAAAAUAACUUCAACAAGCAUAUCACAGCUAUAACUUCAACAAAAGUAACUUGUAUCAUAUAUUAAUAUGUUGGAACUGGGAACUAUAAAAAUACAUAUAAAGUUUUUAUGCGUUUAUCUUAAAAAUUAUAUGAGGAUUAAUUCAAAAGUAUACGAAAUGAAAAUUAUGUAAAAGACACUGGUUCCUGUUUAUGUAACUUAUUUUCUUGUUAGAGAUAUAACCUAAGAAGCACAAACACACCUCUCCAAAGUGUCGUGUUGGCGUGUCAUACACAUUUCGGACACCGUCACUUCUUGGACACACCUUGAAAACAUGUCAGACACCUCUUAAAUAAUUCCAAUCUAAAAAAACGGGUUCCGUUCGGCACCUGUUAGACAUGUCUUGAACAUGCACCAAGAAACUGGGCCGACACUUGGUCAGGGCCCUUAAGAUCGAAUUUCAUUAUAUAACUUUUUUAC